UACGUAGGGUGCAAGCGUUGUCCGGAAUUAUUGGGCGUAAAGAGCUCGUAGGUGGCGGGUCACGUCGGGUGUGAAAGCCCCGGGGCUCAACCCCGGGUCUGCAUUCGAUACGGGUCUGCUAGGGUCCGGCAGGGGAGACUGGAAUUCCUGGUGUAGCGGUGGAAAUGCGCAGAUAUCAGGAGGGAACACCCGGUGGCGAAGGCGGGGUCUCUGGGGCAGUAACUGACGCUGAGGAGCGAAAAGCGUGGGGGAGCGAACAGG
rnacentral:rRNA from 1 species